UACGGAGGAUGCGAGCGUUAUCCGGAUUUAUUGGGUUUAAAGGGUGCGCAGGCGGGAGCUUAAGUCAGUGGUGAAAUGUGGAAGCUUAACUUCCAAGCUGCCAUUGAAACUGUGUUCCUUGAGUGCGGAUGAAGUAGGCGGAAUUCGUUGUGUAGCGGUGACAUGCUUAGAUAUAACGAGGAACUCCGAUUGCGUAGGCAGCUUACUAAGCCGUAACUGACGCUCAAGCACGAAAGCGUGGGUAUCAAACAGG
rnacentral:rRNA from 1 species